GACGAACGCUGGCGGCGUGCCUAAUACAUGCAAGUAGAACGCUGACGGAGGAGCUUGCUUCUCCGGAUGAGUUGCGAACGGGUGCGUAACGCGUAGGUAACCUGCCUGGUAGCGGGGGAUAACUAUUGGAAACGAUAGCUAAUCCCGCAUAAGAGUAGAUGUCGCAUGACAUUUACUUAAAAUGUGCACCUGCACCACUACCAGAUGGACCUGCGUUGUAUUAGCUAGUUGGUGAGGUAACGGCUCAACAAGGCCACGAUACAUCGCCGACCUGAGAGGGUGGACGGCCACAACUGGACUGGGACACGGCCCAGACCUCUACGGGAGGGAGGAGUAGGGGAUCUUCGGCAAUGGAGGGAAGUCUGACCGAGCAACGCCGCGUGAGGGAAGAAGGUUUUCGGAUCGUAAAGCUCUGUUGUAAGGGAAGAACGAGUGGGAGAGUGGAAAGUUCACGCUGUGACGGUAUCUUACCAGAAAGGGACGGCUAACUACGUG
rnacentral:rRNA from 1 species